GCUAGAUGCUGCUUCUCUGCAGCAUGAGUGGAGUUUUAACAACUAGUCUAUGUGACAACAGAGAUCAAGGUGUCAUCUUCCAUUCUUGCCUAUCUCAGAAAAAGCUGCUCUCUUGUACCUAAGAAUAAAACCACCAAGAAGAGUAAUCCAAGCAGCAAUCUGGAGUGCAAAUAAGUGAUCAGAAAGGUCAUCCACCUUAGCUGGAGGUUUGAUACUAUGCAGUGAAUUUCUUUUUUUUAAUAUGUUUCUUCAUUAUCCCUGGAGACAGUUUAAACCAUAAUCAAAAUGUAAUAGGUUUAUGACAAUCAGAACAAAAUUCUACUGGAUAACUCAGAAAAAUAAGUUAUUUGUUGCCAAGCCUUCAAAUAUGCUCGUAUCCAGUUGGGCCUUGUAUCCAGUUGGACUUUCUCCAAGCUUUCUGCCAUCUUUGAUGUGGCCAUCAACAUAAUAAUUUCAUCACUACCAUUGUCAAAAUCAACAGCUUCUUAGGGUUGUAAUCAGAAGGCCAAGCAUCAAUGCCAGAUGAUUUUCUACUCAGAAGCCCAGAAGAAUGGAUUUGAGCUGUCACUGCACACUACCUUUAACACCUCCCUUUUUAGAUACCUCUUCCCAUUUGUCCUAUGGGAUCCACAAUUUAUCUUCUUGUGAUCUUAGAGGAUUGCCCUGCAAGUACGUGGUCCACUCUGUAAGAUCUCACCAAAGGCUGCCUUGUCCUUGCAAUCAGAGUUGUAUGCGAUGUCUCUUAGAGAACCAGAACUUUCCCACCAAUGUUGAGAACUUAUGCCCACAUCUCAUUAACAAAAUCUCUCCAGUCUGCUGCCAAGAAAACCAAAGCACAUAUGUCCAUUCUCACCCGUUGUGGCUCUCAGCUCAAAUAGAAGGGAGUAGGAUACAGCCUUUGCUAGGUAGCUGGGCUGUGCUUUCCAAAGUUCCUGUGCAAGAGGCAAUUGACCUAUCUGAGCACCAAUUGAGGCCUGAGAACUGCAUUGUUUACUCCCUCAACGCAAAGGAUUUAGACUCUUCAGGGCAACAUAGACAUUGUGUUCCUUCUGGACCAAAACAUUAUGCUAUUUAUUCAUCACCCAUUUUCUCCAGUUAUUUGCAAAAUGAAAGUGGUCACCGAUUCUCUAAGAACGUACCACCCCUGCUUGUUGCUCUGUAUCCCAUGGAACGGGGUUUGCCACCUUAUGUGGAACAACUAGCCCAAAUUGAUCGAACUCCCACACCUUCUCUGGCAGAGAGUUAUCUGGCCUUCUCUGGCUAAUAGACCAUGUGCAAAGAACACUGAUAUUUUAUCUUGAACUAAAAGGUCUGAAAUGCAACCAAUCACUUGCUUAAUUUCAUUUCAUGUGUCAUCCCUCACUAUGGGAGCUUGACUUUCUACAUCCUACUGCUUUGGACUGGUUGAUCCGAAUGCUUAAGUAUCAUGGCAGAGAUGGAUUUGAACAACAUGAGAAGUUCAUACAGUGCUACUUCUUGAAUUAAGAUUGGUGUGUGGGGUGGGUGCAAAAGUUGUCCUUUAUGGUAUUUAUCAGCUUUAUUCCUGGAUCCUGUAAUUCUAUGGUCCAGGCAAUUCUAAUUUGGUGACUACAAUUGGGGCCCAUAAUUUGGUCACUAAGUGUAGCCAUGACUGUGCUCAUGAUCUGCUGUUUUACUUUGAAGAUCUCUGAAGUUUGUGAAUACGAGGAUUGGUCACAAAGUUAAUUUUUCUUCAUUGAUAAAUUGCAUUGUAACUUUGGUUACUAAAGUGGGAAGUUGCUAAAUAAGGACUAUCUGUACUCUUGAAUAACU